rnacentral:other from 2 species
AAUUUCCUGCUACGUUGGUAUGUACGUGGUCAGUUUUGUUCCAACACAUUUUUAUAAGGGAGCCCUAACUCGGACAGUGAAUAUGCAGCUUCAGUGCUACAUGGCAGCUGCCCGGAAGGCACCCACCUGCUUGGGCAGGUUCAAAACACUGCGUGCAUACGGCGAUGUGGGAAACAC